GCAGUGGUGGUUCAGUGAUAACAAUUCUAGACUUCCCUGUAGAAGAUCUGGGUUCAAUUCCCAGCCACUGUA
rnacentral:tRNA from 1 species